CAGGACGAACGCUGGCGGCGUGCUCAUACAUGCAAGUCGAACGAUAAGGCACCUUCGGGUGUACAUAAGUGGCGGACGGGUGAGUAAUAUGUAGAGAAUCUGCCCUAGAGCGGGGGACAACCGUUGGAAACGACAGCUAAUACCCCAUAUGAGCGUAGUUGAAAUACUAUUCUUGAAAACUCCGGUGCUCUGGGAUGAGUCUGCAUCUGAUUAGCUAGUUGGGGGUGUAAUGGACCACCAAGGCGAUGAUCAGUAGCUGGUUUGAGAGGAUGAUCAGCCACAAUGGGACUGAGACACGGCCCAUACUCCUACGGGAGGCAGCAGUAGGGAAUUUUGCGCAAUGGGGGAAACCCUGACGCAGCAACGCCGCGUGACCGAUGAAGCCCUUCGGGGUGUAAAGGUCUGUCAGUGGGGACGAAUUCUGACGGUACCCACAGAGGAAGCACCGGCUAACUCCGUGCCAGCCGCGGC
rnacentral:rRNA from 1 species